rnacentral:rRNA from 1 species
UACGAAGGGGGCUAGCGUUGUUCGGAAUUACUGGGCGUAAAGCGUGCGCAGACGGUUGCGUAAGUCAGAUGUGAAAGCCCCGGGCUCAACCUGGGAAUUGCAUUUGAUACUCUGGAGCUUGAGUACGGGAGAGGAUAGUGGAAUUCCCAGUGUAGAGGUGAAAUUCGUAGAUAUUGGGAAGAACACCGGUGGCGAAGGCGGCUAUCUGGACCGUAACUGACGCUGAGGCGCGAAAGCGUGGGGAGCAAACAGG